rnacentral:rRNA from 1 species
AGGUCAAGCUACAAAGGGCGCAUGGUGAAUGCCUUGGCAUCAGGAGCCGAUGAAGGACGUGAUAAGCUGCGAUAAGCUUCGGGUAGGCGCACAUAGCCUGAGAUCCGAAGAUCUCCGAAUGAGGAAACUCACAUGGGAAACCCCAUGUAUCAUUAAGUGAAUACAUAGCUUAAUGAAGGUAACCCAGGGAACUGAAACAUCUAAGUACCUGGAGGAAGAGAAAGAAAAAUCGAUUUUCUUAGUAGCGGCGAGCGAAAGGGAAAGAGCCCAAACCGGAAACUUGUUUCCGGGGUUGUGGACAUAGCAUCAAAGUGGAGGCUAUUGUAACUGAAGAGAACUGGAAAGUUCCACCGUAGAAGGUAAUAGUCCUGUAAGUGAAACGAGAAGACCACGAGUUAUGAUCCAGAGUACCACGAGACACGUGAAACCUUGUGGGAAGCAGGGAGGACCACCUCCCAAGGCUAAAUACUACCUGAUGACCGAUAGUGAAGCAGUACCGUGAGGGAAAGGUGAAAAGAACCCCGGGAGGGGAGUGAAAUAGAACCUGAAACCGUGUGCCUACAACCGCUCAGAGCCCCUUAUGAGGGUGAUGAGGUGCUUUUUGUAGAACGAGCCAACGAGUUACGGUAUGUAGCAAGGUUAAGUACUUAAGGUACGGAGCCGAAGGGAAACCGAGUCUGAAUAGGGCGACUAGUUGCAUGCCGUAGACCCGAAACCGGGUGACCUAUCCAUGGCCAGGUUGAAGCGAGGGUAAAACCUCGUGGAGGACCGAACCACGUUGCUGUUGAAAAAGCAUGGGAUGAGCUGUGGAUAGCGGAGAAAUUCCAAUCGAACCCGGAGAUAGCUGGUUCUCUCCGAAAUAGCUUUAGGGCUAGCGUCGAGUAUGAGUAGUGGAGGUAGAGCACUGAAUGGGCUAGGGGGCAUAGCGCUUACCGAACCUUAUCAAACUCCGAAUGCCACAUACUUUGAGCUCGGCAGUCAGACUACGAAUGAUAAGAUCCGUGGUCAAAAGGGAAACAGCCCAGAUCGUCAGCUAAGGUCCCAAAGUGUAAGUUAAGUGGGAAAGGAUGUGAGAUUUCUAAGACAACUAGGAUGUUGGCUUAGAAGCAGCCAUUCAUUAAAAGAGUGCGUAAUAGCUCACUAGUCGAGAGAUCUUGCGCCGAAAAUGUAACGGGGCUAAACUUACCACCGAAGCUACGGGCUUGAACAUAGUUCAAGCGGUAGGAGAGCGUCGUAACCGGGCUGAAGUCGUACCGUAAGGAGCGGUGGACUGGUUACGAGUGAGAAUGUUGGCAUCAGUAGCGAGAUGUGGGUGAGAAUCCCACAGGCCGAAAACCUAAGGUUUCCUCAGGAAGGUUCGUCCGCUGAGGGUUAGUCGGGACCUAAGCCGAGGCCGAAAGGCGUAGGUGAUGGACAACUGGUUGAUAUUCCAGUACCACUACCAUCGUUAUUAUCGAUGGCGUGACGCAGGAGGAUAGUGUGUGCUAGCUAUUGGAUGCUA